UAACGUGUAGAGGAGCACUGCAAUAGCAUGGCCUCAAUGAAUCCCAGCUAUCCAUAUGGCUUUCCAACAUUUGUGUCUGGCACAGAGAGGUACAUGGAGCAGCCCCGCUUUGAGUGGCGUGAGGCUGCAGCAGAUAUGGAUCUUGCCUGAGGCUGCUGGCCAGAAGCUGCCUAGGGAAAAAUGGACAUAUUCUGACAAGAAGAGCAGAAAUAAAAUGUCAUUCACUUAACUGGUAUGCUGAUGCCUAUAAUGUAAAUAUGAAAUAUAUAAAGGAUUUUGCAGCAUUUCAAACCGCAAGAGAGAUAAGUAAUAUCUUUGUAAUGUGAACAGAGUCAUUUUCAUUAUCACAGAGGUUUGACAACCAGCUUCCUAUGCAGUUUGUCAUGUUGAAUGUCACUAAUACUGUCUGAAUGCUGAUUUGCUACUUUUGUUAUGGCUCCAGUAAAGAUCUGGUGUGUUUCAUUUAGCAAAUGCAUUGAUAAACAGAUAUAAAUCUUUGGAAAGGCCAUUGAUAAAAAAAAGUCUAAUAUCUCAUUGAUGUUUGUUCUGUGUUAGGCUUCAAUACCAUUUAUAUUGUAUCCUUUUUAUGAGCAGCUUGCUACUGCAGCAUUCAUCCUGCAGGGAAGAUUUGGAAACCAUAGCGUGCCGUGAGGCAUGCUGGCAUAAAUCCAGAGUAACGAACUGGUUGUAAUGGAGUUACUCACAUGCAACUCAGAGAUGUAUUUGGCCCAGCGAAGGUUUUACCUGCAGAU